rnacentral:rRNA from 1 species
AACGUAGGAGGCGAGCGUUAUCCGGAUUUACUGGGCGUAAAGCGCAUGCAGGCGGUUCUGUAAGUCGGAUGUGAAAGCUCCUGGCUCAACUGGGAGAGGUCGUUCGAAACUGCAAGACUUGAGGAUGGUAGAGGAGAGUGGAAUUCCCGGUGUAGUGGUGAAAUGCGUAGAUAUCGGGAGGAACACCAGAGGCGAAGGCGGCUCUCUAGGCCACUCCUGACGCUCAGAUGCGAAAGCUAGGGGAGAGAACGGGAUUAGAAACCCCCGUAGUCC